AAUAGAUACCCGGGUAGUCCACGCCGUAAACGAUGAAUGCUAGGUGUUAGGGGUUUCGAUACCCUUGGUGCCGAAGUUAACACAUUAAGCAUUCCGCCUGGGGAGUACGGUCGCAAGACUGAAACUCAAAGGAAUUGACGGGGACCCGCACAAGCAGUGGAGUAUGUGGUUUAAUUCGAAGCAACGCGAAGAACCUUACCAGGUCUUGACAUCCCUCUGAAUCCUCUAGAGAUAGAGGCGGCCUUCGGGACAGAGGAGACAGGUGGUGCAUGGUUGUCGUCAGCUCGUGUCGUGAGAUGUUGGGUUAAGUCUCGCAACGAGCGCAACCCUUGAUUUUAGUUGCCAGCACAUUAAGGUGGGCACUCUAGAAUGACUGCCGGUGACAAACCGGAGGAAGGCGGGGAUGACGUCAAAUCAUCAUGCCCCUUAUGACCUGGGCUACACACGUACUACAAUGGCCAGUACAACGGGAAGCGAAGUCGCGAGACGGAGCCAAUCCUAUCAAAGCUGGUCUCAGUUCGGAUUGCAGG
rnacentral:rRNA from 1 species